rnacentral:rRNA from 1 species
AUAAGCGCCGGUAAGGUGAUAUGAACCGUUAUAACCGGCGAUACCCGAAUGGGGAAACCCAGUGUGAUUCGUCACACUAUCAUUAACUGAAUCCAUAGGUUAAUGAGGCGAACCGGGGGAACUGAAACAUCUAAGUACCCCGAGGAAAAGAAAUCAACCGAGAUUCCCCCAGUAGCGGCGAGCGAACGGGGAGGAGCCCAGAGCCUGAAUCAGCAUGUGUGUUAGUGGAAGCGUCUGGAAAGGCGCGCGAUACAGGGUGACAGCCCCGUACACAAAAGCGCAUGUGCUGUGAGCUCGAUGAGUAGGGCGGGACACGUGGUAUCCUGUCUGAAUAUGGGGGGACCAUCCUCCAAGGCUAAAUACUCCUGACUGACCGAUAGUGAACCAGUACCGUGAGGGAAAGGCGAAAAGAACCCCGGCGAGGGGAGUGAAAAAGAACCUGAAACCGUGUACGUACAAGCAGUGGGAGCACCCUUUGGGUGUGACUGCGUACCUUUUGUAUAAUGGGUCAGCGACUUAUAUUCUGUAGCAAGGUUAACCGAAUAGGGGAGCCGGAGGGAAACCGAGUCUUAACCGGGCGUUAAGUUGCAGGGUAUAGACCCGAAACCCGGUGAUCUAGCCAUGGGCAGGUUGAAGGUUGGGUAACACUAACUGGAGGACCGAACCGACUAAUGUUGAAAAAUUAGCGGAUGACCUGUGGCUGGGGGUGAAAGGCCAAUCAAACCGGGAGAUAGCUGGUUCUCCCCGAAAGCUAUUUAGGUAGCGCCUCGUGAAUUCAUCUCCGGGGGUAGAGCACUGUUUCGGCUAGGGGGCCAUCCCGGCUUACCAACCCGAUGCAAACUGCGAAUACCGGAGAAUGUUAUCACGGGAGACACACGGCGGGUGCUAACGUCCGUCGUGAAGAGGGAAACAACCCAGACCGCCAGCUAAGGUCCCAAAGUCAUGGUUAAGUGGGAAACGAUGUGGGAAGGCCCAGACAGCCAGGAUGUUGGCUUAGAAGCAGCCAUCAUUUAAAGAAAGCGUAAUAGCUCACUGGUCGAGUCGGCCUGCGCGGAAGAUGUAACGGGGCUAAACCAUGCACCGAAGCUGCGGCAGCGACACUGUGUGUUGUUGGGUAGGGGAGCGUUCUGUAAGCCUGUGAAGGUGUGUCGUGAGGCAUGCUGGAGGUAUCAGAAGUGCGAAUGCUGACAUAAGUAACGAUAAAGCGGGUGAAAAGCCCGCUCGCCGGAAGACCAAGGGUUCCUGUCCAACGUUAAUCGGGGCAGGGUGAGUCGACCCCUAAGGCGAGGCCGAAAGGCGUAGUCGAUGGGAAACGGGUUAAUAUUCCCGUACUUGGUGUUACUGCGAAGGGGGGACGGAGAAGGCUAUGUUGGCCGGGCGACGGUUGUCCCGGUUUAAGCGUGUAGGUGUGUGUUCCAGGUAAAUCCGGUUCACUUUAACACUGAGGCGUGACGACGAGGCACUACGGUGCUGAAGCAACAAAUGCCCUGCUUCCAGGAAAAGCCUCUAAGCAUCAGGUAACAUCAAAUCGUACCCCAAACCGACACAGGUGGUCAGGUAGAGAAUACCAAGGCGCUUGAGAGAACUCGGGUGAAGGAACUAGGCAAAAUGGUGCCGUAACUUCGGGAGAAGGCACGCUGACACGUAGGUGAAGUGAUUUACUCAUGGAGCUGAAGUCAGUCGAAGAUACCAGCUGGCUGCAACUGUUUAUUAAAAACACAGCACUGUGCAAACACGAAAGUGGACGUAUACGGUGUGACGCCUGCCCGGUGCCGGAAGGUUAAUUGAUGGGGUCAGCGCAAGCGAAGCUCCUGAUCGAAGCCCCGGUAAACGGCGGCCGUAACUAUAACGGUCCUAAGGUAGCGAAAUUCCUUGUCGGGUAAGUUCCGACCUGCACGAAUGGCGUAAUGAUGGCCAGGCUGUCUCCACCCGAGACUCAGUGAAAUUGAACUCGCUGUGAAGAUGCAGUGUACCCGCGGCAAGACGGAAAGACCCCGUGAACCUUUACUAUAGCUUGACACUGAACAUUGAGCCUUGAUGUGUAGGAUAGGUGGGAGGCUUUGAAGUGUGGACGCCAGUCUGCAUGGAGCCGACCUUGAAAUACCACCCUUUAAUGUUUGAUGUUCUAACGUGGACCCGUUACCCGGGUUGCGGACAGUGUCUGGUGGGUAGUUUGACUGGGGCGGUCUCCUCCUAAAGAGUAACGGAGGAGCACGAAGGUUGGCUAAUCCUGGUCGGACAUCAGGAGGUUAGUGCAAUGGCAUAAGCCAGCUUGACUGCGAGCGUGACGGCGCGAGCAGGUGCGAAAGCAGGUCAUAGUGAUCCGGUGGUUCUGAAUGGAAGGGCCAUCGCUCAACGGAUAAAAGGUACUCCGGGGAUAACAGGCUGAUACCGCCCAAGAGUUCAUAUCGACGGCGGUGUUUGGCACCUCGAUGUCGGCUCAUCACAUCCUGGGGCUGAAGUAGGUCCCAAGGGUAUGGCUGUUCGCCAUUUAAAGUGGUACGCGAGCUGGGUUUAGAACGUCGUGAGACAGUUCGGUCCCUAUCUGCCGUGGGCGCUGGAGAACUGAGGGGGGCUGCUCCUAGUACGAGAGGACCGGAGUGGACGCAUCACUGGUGUUCGGGUUGUCAUGCCAAUGGCACUGCCCGGUAGCUAAAUGCGGAAGAGAUAAGUGCUGAAAGCAUCUAAGCACGAAACUUGCCCCGA